rnacentral:rRNA from 1 species
AUUGAACGCUGGCGGCAUGCCUUACACAUGCAAGUCGAACGGCAGCUCGGGAGCAAUCCUGGUGGCGAGUGGCGAACGGGUGAGUAAUAUAUCGGAACGUGCCCAGUCGUGGGGGAUAACGUAGCGAAAGCUACGCUAAUACCGCAUACGAUCUAUGGAUGAAAGCGGGGGAUCGCAAGACCUCGCGCGAUUGGAGCGGCCGAUAUCAGAUUAGGUAGUUGGUGAGGUAAAGGCUCACCAAGCCGACGAUCUGUAGCUGGUCUGAGAGGACGACCAGCCACACUGGGACUGAGACACGGCCCAGACUCCUACGGAGGCAGCAGUGGGGGAAUUUUUGGACAAUGGGCGCAAGCCUGAUCCAGCAAUGCCGCGUGCAGGAUGAAGGCUCGGUGU